rnacentral:rRNA from 1 species
UACGAAGGGGCGUAGCGUUGUUCGGAAUUACUGGGCGUAAAGCGCGUGUAGGCGGGUCUUUUAAGUCAGGGGUGAAAUGCCAGGGCUCAACCUUGGAACUGCCUUUGAUACUGGAGACCUUGAGUCCGGGAGAGGUGAGUGGAAUUGCGAGUGUAGAGGUGAAAUUCGUAGAUAUUCGCAAGAACACCAGUGGCGAAGGCGGCUCACUGGCCCGGUACUGACGCUGAGGUGCGAAAGCGUGGGGAGCAAACAGG